rnacentral:piRNA from 1 species
UUUGACGAGAGUAUUAUUCAA